UAGGUUCGGACCCGAGGAACCGAGGACCCCAGCAGUGAGUUCAGCUGCUUUGGUGUUGUCAGAGUCAGCCAGAGGUGAGUGGAACUAAACUUAAUCUUUUAAAUUAAAUGCUUUAUCAUGUUUCAUGCAUCAUGAUUAUGCAAUAGGAUGAUUGCAUUAGUUUUCACGAAUAUGCCGCAUUGCAUAGAUUACUGUUGAUGUGGGUGAAUGUCGGAUGACCCAGUUAGUCCAAGACAGGAAGACCAGGCCCCAUGCUACAGGCCUGGCACAGAGUAAGAAAGACCAGGCCCCAGUCUACAGGCCUGGCACAGAGUAAAGCACGGUUAUGGGACUCGAAGACCAGGAGCCCAGAGGAGGCCCUGGAAAAUGGUAAGUAAUGUAUGUUCUGACAGGAAAGACCAGGACCCCAUUCUACAGGCCUGGCACAGAGUUAACUUGGACUAAUUGGCGACGAGUUCACCCAACC
rnacentral:lncRNA from 1 species